GACGGAGGGUGCAAGCGUUAUUCGGAAUCAUUGGGCGUAAAGAGCGUGUAGGCGGCUGGUCAAGUCAGAGGUGAAAGCCCAGGGCUUAACCCUGGAAGUGCCUUUGAAACUGGUCGGCUUGAGUUCGGGAGAGGAAAGCGGAAUUCCGGGUGUAGAGGUGAAAUUCGUAGAUAUCCGGAGGAACACUGGUGGCGAAGGCGGCUUUCUGGACCGAAACUGACGCUGAGACGCGAAAGCGUGGGGAGCAAACAGG
rnacentral:rRNA from 1 species